rnacentral:lncRNA from 1 species
GAAAUCAGUAUAAAAUCGUUGUUGUCGGAGUUCCCUUGGAACUGCGCAGAAGAUGGGGUGAUGGAUUCAGUGUCAAGAUUCAAUGAAGAUCCAUCUGUUCGUGGCCUGCUUGUUCACCCACUACUACCACAAGCAAUGUAUUUUACUUUUCUAGAUGCAGCCCUAGAAAGGAAUUAUGUUUGGUUUAGUUCAUAGAAAGAUAUAUCAUAAAAUCCUUUUUGUUUACAUACUAACUGAAUAAUACGAAGUAUUUUAGUUCUCAUGGUAAUAGACAAGCAACUUCAGUAGUAUUUGAUUUGAGUUUUUGUUUUUAAGUAUAUGUUUGCUCAAGAUUCAACUUUCUUUAUGUCCAUGUUUUGCUGGUAUAAUGCAUCAUCAAGCUUUGUUUUAUAUGAUGACAUUGUGUAAAUCAGCAUAUGGAUGAGGAAAGUAUUCUGAGCGCAGAUGCUCGCCGCCGCCACUGCUUCCGACAAUGUGUGAGCCGCCUAAUCGAGCGAGGAUUCGCCGCUCAUCCUAAGAGGACUCGCCGCUCUUCCAUGACGCCGCCGCUGCAACGCGGCGUUGUUCCAGCACCAAAUCGCAGGUUUUUCACGGUGCCUAUUUACUUGCCCUUCGUCUGCAUAGUUGAGCGCAAGCUUCUGGCCUUAAUAUAGACUUUUGAAAACAUUAUAUUUCAUGCCUGCACAUUACUAGAAACAUAAUUACACUGCGUAGAUUUAGCGGAUUUAAAUAAUACUAUUGUCUCAGUAAAAAAAUAUUUUUCAACUUCAAAUUAUAUGCUGGCUUCAGAUUGUUUUCUUAAAAACCAAGAGCUCUUUUGGGGUUUGCAGUAGUGUGGUUUACAAGAGGUAGCCACGGUUCUUCAAAAAUUUGAAGUGUUAGCAAAAGGAGUGGAACAGAUCAAACUGAAGCUAUUUUAUUUGAUAUUAUCUACUUCUACUUGAACUUUGAUGGGAAUCUGAUGUAACCAUCCCGCAAUCUGAAAAUACUGUAUGAUGUGCAGAGAAAAUCUCUGUUUACAUGUAACUGCGCUGAACUCUGCUUAUAUUUCUCUAUGCGCCACAAAGUUCAAGCAGUUGUAACUAGUAUACAAACAUACUUUGCUCACAGUAUAAUCAUCUGAUGCAAUGUGAUAGUUCCAGCAAAAUUUCUUCACCUAUAAAUCAAAUUAUGUUACUUCUCUUUGUGUAAAUCUUGGAUUUCUAGAUCUUAUGAAAAUGACUUUUUAUUUCAGCAAGUGUAAUUUGAAUUUGUAAUCUUUUUAAAUAUAGAUGCAUCUUUGCAAAUCCAACAAAGUGGUGGGAAUAUCUACAACAUGAAGUUUCUCAAGCUGAUAGGGCAUUCUUCUGCAUGUUUGUGACAUGAUCAUGGUGCGCAUAUAUUUAAUAGUGAAGGUCUUCGGCUAUCACUAUGAAUGGUUCUGCUGUUGUGUAAGUGAUUUCUUAAGUGUUGUGUUGUAACACAUUAGAGUAAAAGAUUAAUUGUGUAUGAAGAAUAAUAUUGUGGAGUCAGGCAGAAUUUGACCUUAGUUCUGACCAAAUUAAUCUUUAUUUGUUUGCUAGGUUGUGUGUCAAACAUCACUUCGUGUUGUAGUGCAUUUUUUCCUUUCAGAAUCCACAUUAUGCAAUUUGGCUUUAUAAGAAGUUUCACUUUAUUAUUAGUGGAGAACGGGAGAUAAGGAAAGGGAAGGGAAAAACAGUAAUUCUAGCAACUAGCCAUUGUUCCAUGGCAAAACACAGGUGUUUGUUCUAUUAUGUUCAUCGGAAGUCUUUACGGAGGAGUUGGGUCUGGGUGAGUGACAUAGAUUUGCUUGAGAUCACGAAUUCUUUUCUGCUGUUACUUGCAUCUUACUUGAAUUUUUUUUCUUCAAGUUCUUCAUGUUUUCCCAUAUCGUCUGCUCUAUAGAAGCUGCUACCUCAAAUUAAGUAAGUGCAUCCUUCUUUUUUGUCCAAGUUUGUUCUAUUCUAUUACUCAGAAGUCUGUACAAGACUGAGAGAGUGAAGCAUAUUUGCUUGAGAUUUGAAUUAUUUUUUGAUGUCAGGUUUGUAUGUUGUACUGUUUGAUUAAUGAAAACUGAUAAAAGUAGUGGCAAACACUUGAUUGAGUAAGCUACUGGAUUUUACCAGUCAUACACACUUGUUUCUUGCAAUAUUAUCUGCAUGACAAGAAACACACAUAUUUGAUUUUGCUCUGUGAUUGGUUCAAAUAUCACUUUUUUGGCUAAAGCUGAUUGGAUACGAGUAGUAGUGUCAACAGUAAUAACUUGAAACAUGAUUUUAUCAUGGCUCUAAAUUUUAUUGCUGAUGAUUUCUUUCAGGAUAUUUGUAGAGGCUAUUUGCACCGUAGUUCAAGGUAGAUGAUAGAGUACAGGCUAGGCAACUCACUUAUAUUGGUACUCGUUUAAAUGGUUAUCUAUUCUGCCGGCAUAGUUACAUGCCAUAUUAAUUUCAGAAGAACAAUUUCUAAUCUAGUGUUGUGCUUGCAUGCAUUGUUAUGUCUAAAAAGAAACGCAGACGCCUCGCCGCUCGAUAAAAAGAAAAAAAAGGAAAGGAAACAGCCCACGACCGCACACCUCAUCUCCCACUAACCUCACAAUCCCAUCUCGAACUCCACCGCGCCUCCACUCCCGCCCCGCCCCAUCUUACCGAUGCGUUCGAGCAGGGCGCCGCCGCCGCGCGUGGCCGCGCGGCCAGUUUUCUUCUCUGUCUAUCCGUUCUGGGGGCGCUCGACAUUGCCGUGCCGCCGAUCUGCCGGCUUCUCCGGAACUCCGUUUGUCAGCAUCUUCUCCACCCCUUGGUGAUGAGCGGCUAAGCCAAGGAGCGGAGUCAGGCGCCGCCGCGCGUACAUGCCGCGUUCGUGCGAGAGUGGGGACGGUCUGACAAGGGAUGCAGACUUGGUUGGGGAACAAGAGCACGCGAAGCUAGGAGCAGGGGCCGAUCGAUGGGCAGCGCGAGGACCUCCUACUGGUUCUACAUGUUCCUCUCUCUGCCUAUCCAUUACAAGCACAGAGGUGAACUCAUGGUUGUAUUGAUAGGUGAUUUAAAGUGCGUGGUUGUGAGGAAAUCAGUAUAAAAUCGUCGUUGUCGGAGUUCCCUUGGAACUGCGCAGAAGAUGGGGUGAUGGAUUCAGUGUCAAGAUUCAAUGAAGAUCCAUCUGUUCGUGGCCUGCUUGUUCACCCACUACUACCACAAGCAAUGUAUUUUACUUUUCUGGAUGCAGCCCUAGAAAGGAAUUAUGUUUGGUUUAGUUCAUAGAAAGAUAUAUCAUAAAAUCCUUUUUGUUUACAUACUAACUGAAUAAUACGAAGUAUUUUAGUUCUCAUGGUAAUAGACAAGCAACUUCAGUAGUAUUUGAUUUGAGUUUUUGUUUUUAAGUAUAUGUUUGCUCAAGAUUCAACUUUCUUUAUGUCCAUGUUUUGCUGGUAUAAUGCAUCAUCAAGCUUUGUUUUAUAUGAUGACAUUGUGUAAAUCAGCAUAUGGAUGAGGAAAGUAUUCUGAGCGCAGAUGCUCACCGCCGCCACUGCUUCCGACAAUGUGUGAGCCGCCUAAUCGAGCGAGGAUUCUCCGCUCAUCCUAAGAGGACUCGCCGCUCUUCCAUGACGUCGCCGCUGCAACGCGGCGUUGUUCCAGCACCAAAUCGCAGGUUUUUGCCGGUGCCUAUUUACUUGCCCUUCAUCUGCAUAGUUGAGCGCAAGCUUCUGGCCUUAAUAUAGCCUUUUGAAAACAUUAUAUUUCAUGCCUGCACAUUACUAGAAACAUAAUUACACUGCGUAGAUUUAGCGGAUUUAAAUAAUACUAUUGUCUCAGUAAAAAAAUAUUUUUCAACUUCAAAUUAUAUGCUGGCUUCAGAUUGUUUUCUUAAAAACCAAGAGCUCUUUUAGGGUUUGCAGUAGUGUGGUUUAAAGAGGUAGCCACGGUUCUUCAAAAAUUUGAAGUGUUAGCAAAAGGAGUGGAACAGAUCAAACUGAAGCUAUUUUAUUUAAUAUUAUCUACUUCUACUUGAACUUUGAUGGGAAUCUGAUGUAACCAUCCCGCAAUCUGAAAAUAAUGUAUGAUGUGCAGAGAAAAUCUCUGUUUACAUGUAACCGCGCUGAACUCUGCUUAUAUUUCUCUAUGCGCCGCAAAGUUCAAGCAGUUGUAACUAGUAUACAAACAUACUUUGCUCACAGUAUAAUCAUCUGAUGCAAUGUGAUAGUUCCAGCAAAAUUUCUUCACCUAUAAAUCAAAUUAUGUUACUUCUCUUUGUGUAAAUCUUGGAUUUCUAGAUCUUAUGAAAAUGACUUCUUAUUUCAGCAAGUGUAAUUUGAAUUUGUAAUCUUUUUAAAUAUAGAUGCAUCUUUGCAAAUCCAACAAAGUGGUGGGAAUAUCUACAACAUGAAGUUUCUCAAGCUGAUAGGGCAUUCUUCUGCAUGUUUGUGACAUGAUCAUGGUGCACAUAUAUUUAAUAGUGAAGGUCUUCGACUAUCACUAUGAAUGGUUCUGCUGUUGUGUAAGUGAUUUCUUAAGUGUUGUGUUGUAACACAUUAGAGUAAAAGAUUAAUUGUGUAUGAAGAAUAAUAUUGCGGAGUCAGGCAGAAUUUGACCUUAGUUCUGACCAAAUUAAUCUUUAUUUGUUUGCUAGGUUGUGUGUCAAACAUCACUUCGUGUUGUAGUGCAUUUUUUCCUUUCAGAAUCCACAUUAUGCAAUUUGGCUUUAUAAGAAGUUUCACUUUAUUAUUAGUGGAGAACGGGAGAUAAGGAAAGGGAAGGGAAAAACAGUAAUUCUAGCAACUAGCCAUUGUUCCAUGGCAAAACACAGGUGUUUGUUCUAUUAUGUUCAUCAGAAGUCUUUACGGAGGAGUUGGGUCUGGGUGAGUGACAUAGAUUUGCUUGAGAUCAUGAAUUCUUUUCUGCUGUUACUUGCAUCUUACUUGAAUUUUUUUUCUUCAAGUUCUUCAUGUUUUCCCAUAUCGUCUGCUCUAUAGAAGCUGCUACCUCAAAUUAAGUAAGUGCAUCCUUCUUUUUUGUCCAAGUUUGUUCUAUUCUAUUACUCAGAAGUCUGUACAAGACUGAGAGAGUGAAGCAUAUUUGCUUGAGAUUUGAAUUAUUUUUUGAUGUCAGGUUUGUAUGCUGUACUGUUUGAUUAAUGAAAACUGAUAAAAGUAGUGGCAAACACUUGAUUGAGUAAGCUACUGGAUUUUACCAGUCAUACACAGUUGUUUCUUGCAAUAUUAUCUGCAUGACAAGAAACACCCAUAUUUGAUUUUGCUCUGUGAUUGGUUCAAAUAUCACUUUUUGGGCUAAAGCAGAUUGGAUACGAGUAGUAGUGUCAACAAUAAUAACUUGAAACAUGAUUUUAUCAUGGCUCUAAAUUUUAUUGCUGAUGAUUUCGUUCAGGAUAUUUGUAGAGGCUAUUUGCACCGUAGUUCAAGGCAGAUGAUAGAGUACAGGCUAGGCAACUCACUUAUAUUGGUACUCGUUUAAAUGGUUAUCUAUUCUGCCGGCAUAGUUACAUGCCUUAUUAUUUUCAGAAGAACAAUUUCUAAUCUAGUGUUGUGCUUGCAUGCAUUGUUAUGUCUAAAAAGAAAGCAGACGCCUCGCCGCUCGAUAAAAAGAAAAAAAAGAAAGGAAACAGCCCACGACCGCACACCUCAUCUCCCACUAACCUCACAAUCCCAUCUCGAACUCCACCGCGCCUCCACUCCCGCCCCGCCCCAUCUUACCGAUGCGUUCGAGCAGGGCGCCGCCGCCGCGCGUGGCCGCGCGGCCAGUUUUCUUCUCUGUCUAUCCGUUCUGGGGGCGCUCGACAUCGCUGUGCCGCCGAUCUGCCGGCUUCUCCGGAACUCCAUUUGUCAGCAUCUUCUCCACCCCUUGGUGAUGAGCGGCUGAGCCAAGGAGCGGAGUCAGGCGCCGCCGCGCGUACAUGCCGCGUUCGUGCGAGAGUGGGUACGGUCUGACAGGGGAUGCAGACUUGGUUGGGGAACAAGAGCACGCGAAGCUAGGAGCAGGGGCCGAUCGAUGGGCAGCGCGAGGACCUCCUACUGGUUCUACAUGUUCCUCUCUCUGCCUAUCCAUUACAAGCAUAGAGGUGAACUCAUGAUUGUAUUGAUAGGUGAUUUAAAGUGCGUGGUUGUGAGGAAAUCAGUAUAAAAUCGUUGUUGUCGGAGUUCCCUUGGAACUGCGCAGAAGAUGGGGUGAUGGAUUCAGUGUCAAGAUUCAAUGAAGAUCCAUAUGUUCGUGGCCUGCUUGUUCACCCACUACUACCACAAGCAAUGUAUUUUACUUUUCUGGAUGCAGCCCUAGAAAGGAAUUAUGUUUGGUUUAGUUCAUAGAAAGAUAUAUCAUAAAAUCCUUUUUGUUUACAUACUAACUGAAUAAUACGAAGUAUUUUAGUUCUCAUGGUAAUAGACAAGCAACUUCAGU